CACAAGCGGAGGAGCAUGUGGUUUAAUUCGAUGAUACGCGAGGAACCUUACCUGGGCUCGAACGUAAGAUGACUGUAGGUGAAAGCUUACAUCUCUUCGGAGCAUUUUACGAGGUGCUGCAUGGUUGUCGUCAGCUCGUGCCGUGAGGUGUCGGGUUAAGUCCCAUAACGAGCGCAACCCCUACCUUUAGUUGCCAUCAGGUUAAGCUGGGGACUCUAAAGGAACUGCCUACGCAAGUAGUGAGGAAGGCGGGGAUGACGUCAAAUCAGCACGGCCCUUACGUCCAGGGCUACACACGUGCUACAAUGGCCGAUACAGAGGGCAGCUACCUGGUGACAGGAUGCAAAUCUCCAAAGUCGGUCUCAGUUCGGAUCGGAGUCUGCAACCCGACUCCGUGAAGUCGGAAUCGCUAGUAAUCGUGAAUCAGAAUGUCACGGUGAAUACGUUCCCGGGCCUU
rnacentral:rRNA from 1 species